CAGAUAUAAACUGCUGUACAGAU
rnacentral:snRNA from 1 species